GAUGCAUAUGUGAAGUGACAUAAACUCAUCCCAUAUAAGAUGCAAUAUGGUUAUAAGCAAAGGUCUUGCUUUGGAAGGCAGAGAUUACAACAAUUCCUUUGUUUACCUUCUAGAGAGAGUAUGUUUUUUCUUCCUACACUUUACUGACUUAUUAAAAAUAUGCAUGUAAUACGAAUGCUGAUUACUGUGUUCCAGUUCCUGGGGACACAUCAAUGAACAAGUAAGACACAAAUUCCUGCCUGUCGGGAGCUUACAUUUUUGUCUGGGAAGAUAGGUGACAAGGAUUAAGAAGGUUGUAUAUUGCAUCAGAAGGUGCUAAGUGCGUGUGAAGUUGGUGAGGAGUAGAGAGGGGAGGAGGGAAGGGACCGGAAGUGUGGACACACUGUUUACAAUCUGGGACAUCUUCUUGAGAAGAUAAAAUUGAGCAAAGCAUUGAAAGAGGCAAGGAGUGGACCAAAGGGACAGUUGGGAGGAGAGCUCUUGGGGACACCAAGGAGGCUUUGUCACCUGGAGGAUAGGGCAGGGAGCAGAAAAUAAGGUCCCAGAACUAAGGGGUGAGGUUAAUUAAGUACAGAUAUCUCUGGGCUGUACAAAAGAAGGUGAAUGAAACCAAAUUCCCCUUGGAGACUUUUGGGUAGAAAAGUGACACAAUCUGAUGCAAUUUUAAAAGAGUAAAUUAAAAAGGUUAAUUACAGCAUUAUUUUCUUGGGCAAAGGUUGGAAGCUACCUAGACACCCAUCAGUGGGUGCUGGUUAAAUAAACACAGCUAUUGGAAAGAAGGUGGGAGAUGUAUGGGUAUGCUGCAUCCCCUGGACUGAAUCUGUGUCUCCCCAGAUUUGAGUGUUGCAGCCUAGUCCUCACUUGGCGUGAUGGUAUUUGGGGUGAGGGCUUUCGGAGGUAAUUAAGCUCUGGGAAUUUUUUCCCCUGACUCACACACAAAGAUUCUGCAAGCAAGUGUCCCUCUGUGAACCUGGAAGAAGAUGCGUGUCUACAGCCUGGUCAUGCUGCAUCCUGACCUCAGACUUCUGGCUUCCAGAACUGCCCUGAGCUAACCAGUGCCGUGUGUGUUCUCAUACCUUCCUCUGCGCUCAGACAUGAGUGUGAAGCAUGUAUAAAUCCAACUUCAUUUUCUUUUUAAAGCCAAGAAAGCGAACGAAAAAGAGAUCAUAUUAUAUUCCUCAAUCUGCAGCUUGGCUUCCCCUCACGCCUAACACAGCACCCGAGUCAUUCUCCAGGCCACGCCAAUACAUCUAACAUCUGUUAUUAUUUUUUUCAGUAGCAAAAUCAUCCAUUAAAUAAUGUGUCAUAGUUAACAACCCAUCACUUGGAGCGCUGUGAAGUUGUUUCUAGCAUCUUUGUGCGCAUGCAUAUGGAUGGCUGUCACUUCUGAUGGUGCUGUAAAUAACAUCUUCAUUCAUAACAAUAAACGUCUACGCUGCUU